rnacentral:tRNA from 1 species
AGAAACUUAGGAUAACAUCUUAAACCAAGGACCUUCAAAGCCCUCAACAGGGGCGCAAUCCCCCUAGUUUCUG